rnacentral:rRNA from 1 species
AUUGAACGCUGGCGGCAGGCCUAACACAUGCAAGUCGAACGAGUGGCGGACGGGUGAGUCAUGUCUGGGAACCUGCCUGCUGGUGGGGGAUAACUACUGGAAACGGUGGAUAAUACCGCAUACUAUCGGAUGUGCCCAAAUGGGAUUAGCUAGUAGGUGGGGUAAAGGUUCACCUAGGCGCCGAUCCCUAGCUGGUAUGAGAGGAUGACCGGCCACACUGGAACUGAGCCACGGCCCAGACUCCUACGGGAGGCAGCAGUGGGGAAUAUUGCACAAUGGGCGCAAGCCUGAUGCAGCCAUGCCGCGUGUAUGAAGAAGGCCUUCGGGUUGUAAAGUACUUUCAGCGGGGAGGCGUUACCCGCAGAAGAAGCACCGGCUAACUCCGUGCCAGCAGCCGCGGUAAUUC